rnacentral:misc_RNA from 1 species
AUACACCCUUUUCUGCUUCAUAUUUCUUCUUUCUAAUAAAAGUUCUUAUCCUUGCCUAUCCCACCAAAAGAAAAACAACUAGUUCAAGGUUACCUAAAGCAUGGAUUUAGCCUGGUGUGUGAAACAAAAAUUUAUCAAAGCAUCCAUAUCUUAAAAUGUGGUUUAAUGAAGAUACAUUUUUUCAAUGUUUUACAAUAUAAUUUUAAACUGUUUUAAAU